UACGUAGGGUGCGAGCGUUAAUCGGAAUUACUGGGCGUAAAGCGUGCGCAGGCGGUUUGCUAAGACCGAUGUGAAAUCCCCGGGCUCAACCUGGGAACUGCAUUGGUGACUGGCAGGCUAGAGUAUGGCAGAGGGGGGUAGAAUUCCACGUGUAGCAGUGAAAUGCGUAGAGAUGUGGAGGAAUACCGAUGGCGAAGGCAGCCCCCUGGGCCAAUACUGACGCUCAUGCACGAAAGCGUGGGGAGCAAACAGGAUUAGAUACCCCGGUAGUCC
rnacentral:rRNA from 1 species